rnacentral:rRNA from 1 species
GAUGAACGCUGGCGGCGUGCCUAAUACAUGCAAGUCGAGCGAACAGACGAGGAGCUUGCUCCUCUGACGUUAGCGGCGGACGGGUGAGUAACACGUGGAUAACCUACCUAUAAGACUGGGAUAACUUCGGGAAACCGGAGCUAAUACCGGAUAAUAUAUUGAACGGCAUGGUUCAAUAGUGAAAGACGGUUUUGCUGUCCCUUAUAGAUGGAUCCGCGCCGCAUUAGCUAGUUGGUAAGGUAACGGCUUACCAAGGCAACGAUGCGUAGCCGACCUGAGAGGGUGAUCGGCCACACUGGAACUGAGACACGGUCCAGACUCCUACGGGAGGCAGCAGUAGGGAAUCUUCCGCAAUGGGCGAAAGCCUGACGGAGCAACGCCGCGUGAGUGAUGAAGGUCUUCGGAUCGUAAAACUCUGUUAUUAGGGAAGAACAAAUGUGUAAGUAACUAUGCACGUCUUGACGGUACCUAAACAGAAAGCCACGGCUAACUACGUG